rnacentral:rRNA from 1 species
AUACGUAGGGGGCGAGCGUUGUCCGGAAUGAUUGGGCGUAAAGGGCGCGUAGGCGGCCCGGUAAGCCUGGAGUGAAAGUCCUGUUUUUAAGAUGGGAAUUGCUUUGGAUACUGUCGGGCUUGAGUGCUGGAGAGGUAAGUGGAAUUCCCAGUGUAGCGGUGAAAUGCGUAGAGAUUGGGAGGAACACCAGUGGCGAAGGCGACUUACUGGACUGUAACUGACGCUGAGGCGCGAAAGUGUGGGGAGCAAACAGGAUUAGAUACCCUGGUAGUCCACACUGUAAACGAUGAAUGCUAGGUGUAGGGGGUAUCGACCCCUUCUGUGCCGCAGUCAACACAAUAAGCAUUCCGCCUGGGGAGUACGGCCGCAAGGUUGAAACUCAAAGGAAUUGACGGGG